AGUGAACGCUGGCGGUAGGCCUAACACAUGCAAGUCGAACGGCAGCACAGUAAGAGCUUGCUCUUACGGGUGGCGAGUGGCGGACGGGUGAGGAAUACAUCGGAAUCUACUUUUUCGUGGGGGAUAACGUAGGGAAACUUACGCUAAUACCGCAUACGACCUACGGGUGAAAGCAGGGGAUCUUCGGACCUUGCGCGAUUGAAUGAGCCGAUGUCGGAUUAGCUAGUUGGCGGGGUAAAGGCCCACCAAGGCGACGAUCCGUAGCUGGUCUGAGAGGAUGAUCAGCCACACUGGAACUUAGCCACCGUCCAGACUCCUAAGGGACGGCGCAGUGGGGAAUAGUGGACAAUGGGGGGAAGCCUUAUCCAGCCAUACCGCGUGGGUUAAGAAGGCCUUCCGGGUGUAAAGCCCGUUUGUUGGGAAAGAAAAGCAGCAGGUUAAUACCCCGCUGUUCUGACGGUACCCAAAGAAUAAGCACCGGCUAACUUCGUG
rnacentral:rRNA from 1 species